ACUAGGUAGUCCUUGAUUACA
rnacentral:miRNA from 1 species